CCAACGGGUGGCAGCAGUGGGGAAUUUUGCGCAAUGGACGAAAGUCUGACGCAGCAACGCCGCGUGGGUGACGAAGGUCUUCGGAUCGUAAAACCCUGUCGUCAGGGACGAAGGUAGGGAGUUUAAUACGCUCUUUGCUUGACGGUACCUGGAGAGGAAGCCCCGGCUAACUCUGUGCCAGCAGCCGCGGUAAUACAGAGGGGGCAAGCGUUAUUCGGAAUUAUUGGGCGUAAAGGGCGCGUAGGCGGUUCUGUAAGUAGGAUGUGCAAUCCCCGAGCUCAACUUGGGAACUGCAUCCUAGACUGCAAGACUAGAGUGCUGGAGAGGGUGGUAGAAUUCCACGUGUAGCGGUGAAAUGCGUAGAGAUGUGGAGGAAUACCAGUGGCGAAGGCGGCCACCUGGACAGUAACUGACGCUGAGGCGCGAAAGUGUGGGUAGCAAACA
rnacentral:rRNA from 1 species